UGAGGAAUAUUGGUCAAUGGGCGGAAGCCUGAACCAGCCAUGCCGCGUGCGGGAAGGAGGCCCUAUGGGCUGUGAACCGCUUUUGCCUGGGAGCAAUAAGGUCCACGUGUGGUCCGAUGAGAGUAGCAUACGAAUAAGCAUCGGCUAACUCCGUGCCAGCAGCCGCGGUAAUACGGAGGAUGCAAGCGUUAUCCGGAUUCAUUGGGUUUAAAGGGUGCGUAGGCGGCUUGGUAAGUCAGCGGUGAAAUUCCAGUGCUCAACAUUGGCCGUGCCGUUGAUACUGCUGGGCUUGAAUGCGGAUGCCGUGGGAGGAAUGUGUGGUGUAGCGGUGAAAUGCAUAGAUAUCACACAGAACACCGAUUGCGAAGGCAUCUCACGAAUCCGCAAUUGACGCUG
rnacentral:rRNA from 1 species